UACGUAGGGUGCGAGCGUUGUCCGGAAUUAUUGGGCGUAAAGAGCUCGUAGGCGGUCUGUCGCGUCGGUCGUGAAAACUUGGGGCUUAACCCUGAGCUUGCGGUCGAUACGGGCAUGACUGGAGUUCGGUAGGGGAGACUGGAAUUCCUGGUGUAGCGGUGAAAUGCGCAGAUAUCAGGAGGAACACCGAUGGCGAAGGCAGGUCUCUGGGCCACUACUGACGCUGAGGAGCGAAAGCGUGGGGAGCGAACAGG
rnacentral:rRNA from 1 species